UACAGAGGGUGCAAGCGUUGUUCGGAAUUAUUGGGCGUAAAGCGCACGUAGGCGGCUUUGCAAGUUAGAGGUGAAAGCCCGGGGCUCAACUCCGGAAUUGCCUUUAAAACUGCAUCGCUAGAAUUGUGGAGAGGUAAGUGGAAUUCCGAGUGUAGAGGUGAAAUUCGUAGAUAUUCGGAAGAACACCAGUGGCGAAGGCGACUUACUGGACACAUAUUGACGCUGAGGUGCGAAAGCGUGGGGAGCAAACAGG
rnacentral:rRNA from 1 species